rnacentral:rRNA from 1 species
UACAGAGGUGCCGAGCGUUAGGCGGAAUCACUGGGCUUAAAGCGUGUGUAGGCGGACUUCUAAGUACCUUGUGAAAUCCCACGGCUCACCCGUGGAACUGCUGGGUAUACUGGUCGUCUUGAGCCACCUAGGGGCGAGCGGAACAAAUGGUGGAGCGGUGAAAUGCGUAGAUAUCAUUUGGAACGCCAACGGUGAAAACAGCUCGCUGGGGUUGUGCUGACGCUGAGACACGAAAGCCAGGGGAGCGAACGGG